rnacentral:rRNA from 1 species
AGGACGAACGCUGGCGGCGUGCUUAACACAUGCAAGUCGAGCGGUAAGGCUCCUUCGGGAGUACACGAGCGGCGAACGGGUGAGUAACACGUGAGCAAUCUGCCCUUCACACUGGGAUAACCCCCGGGAAACCGGGGCUAAUACCGGAUGCGACCACCGACGGCAUCGUCUGGUGGUGGAAAGUUCCGGCGGUGGGGGAUGAGCUCGCGGCCUAUCAGCUUGUUGGUGGGGUAACGGCCUACCAAGGCGACGACGGCUAGCUGGUCUGAGAGGACGACCAGCCACACUGGGACUGAGACACGGCCCAGACUCCUACGGGAGGCAGCAGUGGGGGAAUCUUGCGCAAUGGGCGAAAGCCUGACGCAGCAACGCCGCGUGGGGGAUGAAUGCCUUCGGGUUGUAAACCCCUUUCAGCAGGGACGAAUCUGACGGUACCUGCAGAAGAGCCCCGGCCAACUACGUGCCAGCAGCCGC